GAGAUUAUAGUUCAAUUGGUUAGAGCAUCGCCCUGUCACGGCGAAAGUUGCGAGUUCGAUUCUCGUUAAUCUCG
rnacentral:tRNA from 3 species